rnacentral:rRNA from 1 species
GACGAACGCUGGCGGCGUGCUUAACACAUGCAAGUCGAGCGGAAAGGCCCUUUCGGGGGUACUCGAGCGGCGAACGGGUGAGUAACACGUGAGUAAUCUGCCCUUGGCUUUGGGAUAACUACCGGAAACGGUGGCUAAUACCGGAUACGACGUACUCAGGCAUCUGAUGUGCGUGGAAAGUCUUUUCGGCCAGGGAUGUGCUCGCGGCCUAUCAGCUUGUUGGUGGGGUAAUGGCCUACCAAGGCUUCGACGGGUAGCCGGCCUGAGAGGGUGACCGGCCACACUGGGACUGAGACACGGCCCAGACUCCUACGGGAGGCAGCAGUGGGGAAUAUUGGACAAUGGGCGGAAGCCUGAUCCAGCAACGCCGCGUGAGGGAUGAC